rnacentral:lncRNA from 1 species
UUCUAUAAUUUAGUCAUUGUCAUUAUAAAAUUCCAUACUUUUCCACAAUUUCACUUAUUCAACUCUUUAAGCAUUUUUCAUCAUCUCAUAACACACAUAUUAUACUUUUAUCAUAAUUUCCUACUUCACAUGUUAAAUUAUUUCACACCUUAUUUUAGUAACCUACUACAUAUUUCACAAAGUUCACAUUUUAAUCCUUAAAUAACAAGAAAAUUCAUGGGUACUUACCUUUUUCCUAUCCAAAAUCACUUGCUUUUCUC